CUUCUUUCUUCUCUUCCUUCUCUCCUCUUUCACAAAAACUCAUCUAGAACUCCACAAACUUUUCCUUACUUUAUUGACUGAAGAAGAGGUGAGGAUGAGGGUUGAAUGCGACAUAACUGACAGGUUCAUAAGGUGGACAUAACGUUGACAUAAUUUUCCGAAAAGGUUGUGGGUUAACUUUCUAAAACUCCUCAUGUUUCCCCUUUAGAUCUUUGCUUAUUUUUUAGAUUUGAUGUUAUUUUAGAUCCAAAUAUAUGUUUUAGAUCUGAUAUUUUAUAUCCAAAUCUAUUUUGUUUCAUAUUAACCCUUUUUAUCCUUCUAAGAAAUUGUUGCUCAUACAAUUAUGUUUAGAUCUGAUUAUGUUAUAGAAAGUUAAAUGUGAAAUUUUUUCUUUUUUCAGAAAUCAUGAAACCGAAGAAGGAAGAUAAGAAGAAAGAAAGAAAGAAAGUGUGGAUUGGUUAAUACAUGUAUAAAAUAGUAAGAGAUGUGUAUUGAUAUAACGAUAUAAUACAUGUUUAUUGUGUGUAUUUUUUUGUACGUAAUAAUGCAAUGGGCUUAUAAAAUGGAUAUAACAAUGGUAUAAUGUACGUGUAUUGACAUUUUCAUAAGUUUCAGAAAUAUUUUUAUUUGUAUUUAACUGUUGUCACUAUUUUGUGCCAUAAUAUGUUACUAAAUAUAGUUAUAAUUAAAAUAACAGUGACAUUAUACACUCGAAAAUUGGUCAUAAACCUUCCGUACUCCUCUCCUCACAACGCUCACCGCGCGGUGACGGGACGCCGCCGCCUUCACCUUCCUCGGCCUCCUCGGCAGAGGCGACGAAGAAAAGAAAAAAA
rnacentral:lncRNA from 1 species